rnacentral:rRNA from 1 species
GAGUUUGAUCUUGGCUCAGAUUGAACGCUGGCGGCAUGCCUUACACAUGCAAGUCGAACGGCAGCACGGGAGCUUGCUCCUGGUGGCGAGUGGCGAACGGGUGAGUAAUGCAUCGGAACGUAUCCUGGAGUGGGGGAUAACGUAGCGAAAGUUACGCUAAUACCGCAUAUUCUGUGAGCAGGAAAGGCGGGGACCUUCGGGCCUCGCGCUCUUGGAGCGGCCGAUGUCGGAUUAGCUAGUUGGUGAGGUAAAGGCUCACCAAGGCGACGAUCCGUAGCAGGUCUGAGAGGAUGAUCUGCCACACUGGAACUGAGACACGGU